UGUUUUUCAGAAUAACUUUCAUGUAAAGGAAUACCACUGUAAUCUACUUCAAAUUAAUUGUUCAUUGUGAUAUUCUUGAUGUAGACAACAACCAUCAAACUUUGGGCAGCCCUGGUGUCUUUGUUUCGUCCAGCAGUUUGACGCCAUUCAUCUUCUCUGUCACUCUUAGCCACCCCAAGAAGCACCCAAAUGCAAUGUCAAGAUACCCAAUUUUGUCUCCACUGAAAAAGUCCUUUCCUUUGCUAGUCUUCUCAAACGCUUCCUCCAACAGCACCGGGCCACUUGCUUGAUUGCCGCCUUCUUCGCCUCCUCUCCCUGAGGAGCAGCAAUGCCUCUCAUGGACGGAAACCACUACAAGAAAAUGCAACAGACUGAUAAGCGAAUGAGUCAUCCAAAACCAACAUGUCUCAUUUACCAAUUCACAAUCAAUAUACAAUCAAAGUUCCAUUUUUAAGUUCAGUUCAUACAGCUUCUAUCACUUGGUCUCACAAGCAUGAGAACCGUGACACAUCAAACUCAAUAUCAAUGUAUACUCGUCACGCAAUGUUAUCAAUUUAUAACACGUAAAUUUAUUUAUGACC